GUGACCUCAAAUCAGGUAGGACUACCCGCUGAACUUAAGCAUAUCAAUAAGCGGAGGAAAAGAAACUAACAAGGAUUCCCCUAGUAACUGCGAGUGAAGCGGGAAAAGCUCAAAUUUAAAAUCUGUCAGUCUUUUGGCUGUCCGAGUUGUAAUCUAGAGAAGUGUUAUCCGCGCUGGACCGUGUACAAGUCUCCUGGAAUGGAGCGUCGUAGAGGGUGAGAAUCCCGUCUUUGACACGGACUGCCAGGGCUUUGUGAUGCGCUCUCAAAGAGUCGAGUUGUUUGGGAAUGCAGCUCAAAAUGGGUGGUAAAUUCCAUCUAAAGCUAAAUAUUGGCGAGAGACCGAUAGCGAACAAGUACCGUGAGGGAAAGAUGAAAAGAACUUUGGAAAGAGAGUUAAACAGUACGUGAAAUUGCUGAAAGGGAAACGCUUGAAGUCAGUCGCGUUGACCGGGGAUCAACCCUUGCUUUUGCUGGGUGUACUUUCUGGUUGAUGGGUCAGCAUCAAUUUUGACCAUUGGAAAAAGAUUAGGGGAAUGUGGCAUCUUUGGAUGUGUUAUAGCCUCUGGUUGUAUACAAUGGUUGAGAUUGAGGAACUCAGCACGCCGCAAGGCCGGGUUUUUAACCACGUACGUGCUUAGG
rnacentral:rRNA from 1 species